UACAGAGGGGGCAAGCGUUGUUCGGAAUUACUGGGCGUAAAGGGCGCGUAGGCGGCCUGCUAAGUCGAACGUGAAAUCCCUGGGCUCAACCCAGGAACUGCGUCCGAUACUGGUUGGCUUGAAUCCGGGAGAGGGAUGUGGAAUUCCAGGUGUAGCGGUGAAAUGCGUAGAUAUCAAGAGGAACACCUGAGGCGAAGGCGGGUUGCUAGGCUGACACUGACGCUGACAGCGCGAAAGCCAGGGGAGCAAACGGG
rnacentral:rRNA from 1 species